UCCCUUAUGGCUUAGCUGGUAAAGAAUCCGUCUGCAAUGCAGGAGAUCCGGGUUCGAUCCCUGCUUUGGGAA
rnacentral:tRNA from 1 species